GGCAGGAUAGUCCAGUGGUUAGGGUGUUUGACUCCCAGACAAAAGGUUCUAGGUUCGAUCGCUAAAGUCGUUUCG